rnacentral:lncRNA from 8 species
ACUCCACCCCAGCGGAGCAACGGAGAAAGAGGGAGGAAGUUUACAGAAUUGAGUUCGCUGAAUCUUCUCAGUCUACUUUUUGCCUUUACUUUCAUUUAGCCUCUAACCUACAUUCAUCCGUCUCUACUUUUAUUGACACCAUCGCAUUAACUGGUGAUUUGUACACUGUCACAACUACGACCGACAGAUCAGUGAGUAUCAGCAGAAAUGGAGGACGGGACUCUACUGCAGAACAUGCGCCAAGCACCCAAACCAAGUACUCCUGUGCUUGUCAUAUCCAAACUCAUCAUGACUGCCUUGCCAGUUGCCCAAAUCGCAAUAGGUGGUAUGUUCCUGGAGAACUGCCCCCAGCAGCACUAUAUCCCCAUCUACCUGGUGGUGAUGGGGGUGUUUGCCCUGGCCCUGGCUGUCCUGUCAUGCCUACCCUGCACCAGGGAGCAGGAUGAGGGGGAGCAGCAGAGCCCUCUCAGCAGCCUUUGUACCGCCUGGAACUCUCUAGUGUCACUAUUCCUCUUCUGCUGGUUCAUAGCGGGCAAUGUGUGGAUCUACUCUAUAUUCCCUGCGAACUAUAAUGAAGAAGUCGCUCUCCACUGCAACAAAACCCUGUAUCUGUUUGCCUUCUGGACCACCACCCUGGUAUACAUCUUCCUGGGCAUGCUCAUGGUUGGGGGCUGCUGUGUGCUUGUAUGCAUGUGUCUGUGUGGUGGAAGGGGGCUAGGCUCGAACAAUGCCGAUGUCUGAGGGGGAGGCGAAGGGUUCAUAUCUGGGUUCAAAUAUUAUUUGUUUCCUUGCAAACACUUUAGUUGUGCUUAAUUGAGCUUGCCUGACACAUUGGAAGCAAUAGAAUGGUCCCAAAAGUACAACCCCUACCCAUCUGGCACUCCAGUCAGGCUAAAUCAAACAC